rnacentral:rRNA from 1 species
GAAUAUUGGACAAUGGGGGGAACCCUGAUCCAGCCAUGCCGCGUGUGGGAAGAAGGCCUUUUGGUUGUAAAGCACUUUAAGCGAGGAGGAGGCGCGCUUGGUUAAGACCCAAGAUGCUUGGGCGGUACUUGCCGAAUAAGCCACGGAUAACUCAGUGCCAGCAGCCGCGGUCAUACAGAGGGUGCAAGCGUUAUUCGGAUUUACUGGGCGUAAAGCGCGCGUAGGUGGCCAAUUAAGUCAAAUGUGAAAUCCCCGAGCUUAACUGGGGAAUUGCAUUCGAUACUGGUUGGCUAGAGUAUGGGAGAGGAUGGUAGAAUUCCAGGUGUAGCGGUGAAAUGCGUAGAGAUCUGGAGGAAUACCGAUGGCGAGGGCAGCCAUCUGGCCUAAUACUGACACUGAGGUGCGAAAGCAUGGGGAGCAAAC